rnacentral:tRNA from 2 species
AGGGGUAUAGUUCAACGGUAGAGCAGCGGUCUCCAAAACCGUAGAUGAGGGUUCGAAUCCUUCUACCCCUGCCA